AUUGCUUCUCGGCCUUUUGGCUAAGAUCAAGUGUAGUAUCUGUUCUUAUCAGAAAAUACUUUUUGAUCCAGCAAUUUAAUGAUGGUUAUAUUGGUGACUUACUUCUA
rnacentral:snRNA from 1 species